rnacentral:lncRNA from 1 species
CUGGGUAGUAAAAAAAGCCUCCGAGAUUUCUCUUUUAGCACUGACCUUCUGAGCUAUCUAAUGAUGAAGAUAGGAAGAGGCUGCAACCAGACAGUGGAAAAAAAAACCCCUUUUGCUAGCAGGGAAAUGUGUGAGUAAUAUACACACUGUUGGACGGUGGCCAAAUCACUCUAGUAACGGCUGUUAGUUCCCCUUACGAAGAAAAUGAUCAAAUGAGAAAGAGGAGCUGCAGUCGGGUGUCAGAAAUGCUGAGUCGCAACGGGAGAGUGCCGCAUCCGAUGGAAAUUUACCCAGGAGCCAGCGACCUUCACACGCUGGGGACGAGGACUGAGGGCUUGUAGGGAAAUCCUGCCCUCGCUCACCCACCGCUGUACUACCUCCACGUCACCACCCAGGCAGAACACACCCUGGAAAAGCAGACCAGGAGACGAGCUCCAAGACAGAGUGAGCUGCCAGGACAGGCUCUGUGGCGUGAAACAGGGUACUGCUCUCCAUAGUGUGCAAGGAUGUCUGGCCCCACAGCACUGCCCAGUCCUCAGGAUUACUUGCCUCAGUGGAUGACAGCAAAGAAGGAAUUUUGGCAACAACCUCUCAAGGAUUUUGCUGCUCCUCAGGGGAUCUUCUGACUCAGUGAAGGGCACUUACGAGGUACAUUAUUUCAUUAUUUCUGCAGCUUGGGCACUCUUUUGCCCUGCAGCACUGCAGGGAUCUUAGCAUGCAGUUUGGGAUUUUGCCAGUCAGCUCACUGGAGUACUGAAGCGAAGCAAUGAAGCCAAUGCAGCAAAAAUGCUGAUUGUACUACAGGCUGGGAGAAAUCCUUUUCGUAUUCAACUCACGGCAGAGCCUGUUACAACGUCAUAAAUCCUCUGUAGCAGCGAGAGAGGGACAAGGGAGAGAAGCCCGCUGUCUCUGCUUUUCCUGCACAGUCUAUUCUCAGCACUGUGCGUCACGCUCUCCUUCAUCACUCUCCAUCAAUUCUGCACAGUUCAGGAAAAUUCUGACAUCUGGGUCUGCAGUGCUAUGAGUUAGCAAAGGCCUUUUCCACUGCAAUCCAAACAUCACAAAAGCCAGAGAGUUUCUUGCUGUCAAACCACAUGUUUUUGCUCUGAGUAAAUUUGACAGAAUAAAUAGAGAGCCCCCAAAGUGCCA